UUAUCGCUGAGGAAAAUAUGGCGACGGCUUUGUUCAACACGACCAGAAGCUCUAACCUCUACCACCACCACUCAGUUCUCCCUCCGUUCUCCCAACGGUUUCACAUCCGCCGUCAAAAUAUCUUCUCUCUAGUGACUCCUCGCCGCUUACGCCGUCUCGCCGUCGUUGGUGGUCCUCCAUCUUCUCCGAGUCCUGAUCCGCCUCCGCCUGAGAACACCACUCAGCUCGAAGGUGUUGUGGGAGCUGUGACAAGGAUUGAAGACCGCGUAAAGAUCUUCCUGGCAGUACUGAUUUGGAUGUCUCUCUUCUUCUGGGUUACAGUGGUCGAUGGGAUGGGUAAAGGCAAAGGGAAGAAGGGUUCUCGUUUCAAGUAAUUUCCCAAACUCUGGUGUGAUUGCUCAUCAUCAUCAUCAUUAAUAUUCCACAAACUGUAUAUUUAUGGUCUCGAGAGAUCAAAAUCACCUGUAGAAAUUCUCCCCAAGUAAAGCAUAUUUCUUGUAGAUCAGUCAUUCAGAUGAUAGGAUUCAACAAUAUACAUUAUAAUAUGGUAAGAUGAUUCUCUUUUGGUUUCAUAGUUUUCAUCCAUUUUUCGCUGCUCUAUAAUGUACAUGAUAAUAAUUUGAUUAAUUUCUCA